AUGAGCAAAGCCCUAUCACCAAGAUAUCAAGGGCUGACAACUUAUGAAAAAGAGUUCUUGGCAGUCAUCAUGGCAGUGGACCAAUGGAGAUUGUAUCUACAACAUGCAGAAUUUGUGAUAUACAUAGAUCAUAAGAGCUUGGUCCAUCUGGAGCAGCAAAGACUCACCACUCCCUGGCAACAAAAAGCUUUUACUAAGUUCCUAGGUCUUCAGUAUAAAAUCAGGUACAAAAGGGCUCUAAAACACGGCCGCAGAUGCCUUAUCUCGCGCCAAUCCCUCUGCUAUGCUAUCUGCGCUGACAGUAUGCCAACCUACAUGGUUGGAAGACAUCAACAAUAG
rnacentral:rRNA from 1 species